rnacentral:rRNA from 1 species
GAUGAACGCUGGCGGUCUGCUUAACACAUGCAAGUCGAACGAACUCUUCGGGGUUAGUGGCGGACGGGUGAGUAACGCGUGAGAAUCUGCCUUCAGGUCUGGGACAACAGAAGGAAACUUCUGCUAAUCCGGGGUGAGCCUUUUGGUAAAAGAUAAAUUGCCUGGAGAUGAGCUCGCGUCUGAUUAGCUAGUUGGUGUGGUAAAAAGCAUUACCAAGGCAACGAUCAGUAGCUGGUCUGAGAGGAUGAGCAGCCACACUGGGACUGAGACACGGCCCAG